UACAGAGGGUGCGAGCGUUAAUCGGAAUUACUGGGCGUAAAGCGCGCGUAGGCGGCUUUGCAAGUCGGGUGUGAAAUCCCCAGGCUUAACCUGGGAACUGCAUUCGAGACUGCAUUGCUAGAGUAUGGGAGAGGGAGGUGGAAUUUCCGGUGUAGCGGUGAAAUGCGUAGAUAUCGGAAGGAACAUCAGUGGCGAAAGCGGCUUCCUGGACCAGCACCGACGUUCAGGCACGAAAGCGUGGGGAGCAAACAGG
rnacentral:rRNA from 1 species